rnacentral:lncRNA from 1 species
ACUCUCUGGUGGCCAGCAGGAAAGUCUAGAUGUGCUAGAGAUUGAAGAAAUCAGGUCUCGUCUUAGUACAUAAAUGAGUUCUAAAAGUUUGGAAAACUAACAUACCUUCACAAAUUUGUUUCAUCCAGUUUGGCCCUUGCUCAGUGAGUAUAAUAAUUUGACAAAAAUGAAUCAUCUCAGCAGCCGAGAAUUAAUGCAUUUUAGAUUGAAUAAUGUAAAAAUUACAGCACUGGGGCUAACCAAUCCCCAUUUCUGCUCUGCAGGGCGAUUGGAAUGGGGGAAGUUAACGUUCUUAUUCCCUUUAUUCGAGGCAGACUAGUGUGGUAUGACUGCUGGCAAACUUCUGCAGGAGGUGCUGGGCGGAUGUGUGGAACCAGUCGUUCAGCAGAUACAGUUCAGUGUAACUUCAUUACAUUUGAUCGAGCUCAUGACAAAUACUUUCUACCAUUACAAGACUUUUGGACAAGCUGAAGGUACCAUUUACCAGUACUGCUCUACAGGGACUAUGAACCGUCAUGACUAUUGAACAGAAUCAUGGAGAGUUCCAGAUUUCAGAUGAUUCAUCUGGCCUGAAAGACGUGUCUAGAAACUUGCUAUGAUUUAUAGCAGUUAAUAUACUUUUGGUGGUAAUAAAGUGGCUUGAUCAGGUUCUGCUCUUCUGCUG